CUGCAGGUGGCGCGGCGCUUCGGCGUGGCGCCGCAGCAGCUGGUGGCGGUGGGCGACUCGAUGCGCGACGUGCAGGCGGCGCUGGCCGCC
rnacentral:tRNA from 1 species